UCACCUUAUGGUGGAUUACCCCUUUAAAGGAGAUGUCCGGUGCUCACUUUUCUUAUUUUAUCCGAUUCGGGCUGAAAAAUAAAAGAAAACAAAUUAACUAACAGGAAGUAAGAAGAAUACAGCCUGGGGACCGAACGCCUGUACCGGAGCACCGGGGGAGCGUAUGCAGGGCAAUUUAUCCUGAAAAGUCACAAUGAAAUCCUUAAAUGACAGGAACGCUUUGAGGGAAGGACAGAGUGGUUUCAGCACUACCAACACCAAGCUGUAAAGAGAAAAACUUUUCGAACUGGCACUAGGGGGGCAUCUAUGACUUGUAUUGUUACUCAUUCCCAUCAUUAAAGAGGUUAUCCAGCAGAGAGCACUGUUUCCAGACAGAUAAGAACAACUCAACUUCAGUAGCUGAUAAUUAUUGGAAGGAUUAAAGCGUGAUAACAGACCGUCGCCCAUCAGUGGAGCCCACCGCCCAUGCAACAUCUCUCCACCUCCCUGCAAUUGUAUACAACUUGGAAAACGAAAAUAAAGUUUUUCUGCACGACAUACCCUGGCGUCUGAGGUUGUACUUGUUUUUGGCGCCCACCAUUUAGCCAUAUAAAAGACUGAGAAACAAGAGAAAAAAAUUAUUUGUGGGAGG